rnacentral:rRNA from 1 species
UGGGGAAUAUUGGACAAUGGGCGAAAGCCUGAUCCAGCCAUGCCGCGUGUGUGAAGACGGUCUUCGGAUUGUAAAGCACUUUAAGUUGGGAGGAAGGGCAGUAAGCGAAUACCUUGCUGUUUUGACGUUACCGACAGAAUAAGCACCGGCUUACUCUGUGCCCGCAGCCGCGGUAAUACAGCGGGUGCAAGCGUUAAUCGGAACUACUGGGCGUAAAGCGCGCGUAGGUGGUUCGUUAAGUUGAAUGGGACAGCCCCGAGCUCAACCUGGGAACUGCAUCCAAAACUGGCGAGCUAGAGUAGGGCAGAGGGUGGUGGAAUUUCCUGUGUGGCGGUGAAAUGCGUAGAUAUAGGAAGGAACACCAAUGGCGAAGGCGACCACCUGGGCUCAUACUGACACUGAGGUGCGAAAGCGUGGGGAGCAAACAGG